GGAGCAUGUGGUUUAAUUCGAAGCAACGCGAAGAACCUUACCAGGUCUUGACAUCCUUUGACCACUCGAGAGAUCGAGCUUUCCCUUCGGGGACAAAGUGACAGGUGGUGCAUGGUUGUCGUCAGCUCGUGUCGUGAGAUGUUGGGUUAAGUCCCGCAACGAGCGCAACCCUUAUUACUAGUUGCCAGCAUUCAGUUGGGCACUCUAGUGAGACUGCCGGUGACAAACCGGAGGAAGGUGGGGAUGACGUCAAAUCAUCAUGCCCCUUAUGACCUGGGCUACACACGUGCUACAAUGGAUGGUACAACGAGUCGCGAAGUCGUGAGGCCAAGCUAAUCUCUUAAAGCCAUUCUCAGUUCGGAUUGUAGGCUGCAACUCGCCUACNGAAGCCNNAANCGC
rnacentral:rRNA from 1 species